rnacentral:rRNA from 1 species
AGAGUUUGAUUAUGGCUCAGGAUGAACGCUGGCGGCGCGCCUAACACAUGCAAGUCGAACGGUUAAAGCCCCUUCGGGGGUGCAUAAAGUGGCGAACGGCUGAGUAACACGUGGGCAACCUGCCCCCCGCUUCGGGAUAGCCUCGGGAAACCGUGGGUAAUACCGGAUACUCCGCCCACCCCGCAUGGGGAGGGCGGGAAAGCGCAUACGGCGGGGGAUGGGCCCGCGGCCUGUUAGCUCGUUGGCGGGGUAACGGCCCACCAAGGCUAUUAUGGGUAGCCGGGUUGAGAGACCGACCGGCCAGAUUGGGACUGAGACACGGCCCAGACUCCUACGGGAGGCAGCAGUGGGGAAUCUUGCACAAUGGGCGAAAGCCUGAUGCAAGCGACGCCGCGUGCGGGAUGAAGGCCCUCGGGUUGUAAACCGCUUUCAGCAGGGACGAGGCGCAAGUGACGGUACCUGCAGAAGAAGCCCCGGCUAACUACGUGCCAGCCGCCGC